rnacentral:rRNA from 1 species
UCCGACCUCAGAUCGGACGAGAUUACCCGCUGAAUUUAAGCAUAUAUCUCAACGGAGGAAAAGAAACAUCAGGGGGUUCCCCCGUAACAGAGAGUGAAGUGGGCAGAGAAGGCCACCGAAUACUCCAUCGAUGCGCCGACGCCGAGAGCUGUGUUGUUGGCGACGCCACCAGCUGCAGGCAGAGGGCGUACUGACUCAUUUUGAUCGGCGCUUCACCCGCUGAUGGGAGACCCGGACUACGCAGGUAAGGAUGCGAUCGCUUUAGACUAGCCGACCCUCAGACUGGCGUGGCCACGGGAUGGACCCCGAGGCCGCCAUAUGCGUUCUAGAUGUAAAUGUUUACUG